rnacentral:rRNA from 1 species
CCAGACUCCUACGGGAGGCAGCAGUGGGGAAUAUUGCACGAUGGGGGAAACCCUGAUGCAGCGACGCCGCGUGAGCGAAGAAGUACCUCGGUAUGUAAAGCUCUAUCAGCAGGGAAGAAAGUGACAGUACCUGACUAAGAAGCCCCGGCUAACUACGUGCCAGCAGCCGCGGUAAUACGUAGGGGGCGAGCGUUAUCCGGAUUCACUGGGUGUAAAGGGAGCGUAGACGGCCAUGCAAGCCAGGGGUGAAAGCCCGGGGCCCAACCCCGGGACUGCCCUUGGAACUGCAUGGCUGGAGUACGGGAGGGGCAGGCGGAAUUCCUGGUGUAGCGGUGAAAUGCGUAGAUAUCAGGAGGAACACCGGCGGCGAAGGCGGCCUGCUGGACCGUGACUGACGUUGAGGCUCGAGAGCGUGGGGAGCAAACAGGAUUAGAUACCCCCGUA